rnacentral:rRNA from 1 species
ACGGAAGGCAGCAGUGGGGAAUAUUGGACAAUGGGCGCAAGCCUGAUCCAGCGACGCCGCGUGAGUGAAGAAGUAUUUCGGUAUGUAAAGCUCUAUCAGCAGGGAAGAUAAUGACGGUACCUGACUAAGAAGCCCCGGCUAACUACGUGCCUGCAGCCGCGGUAAUACGUAGGGGGCAAGCGUUAUCCGGAUUUACUGGGUGUAAAGGGAGCGUAGACGGUAUGGCAAGUCUGAUGUGAAAACCCAGGGCUCAACCCUGGGACUGCAUUGGAAACUGUCAAACUAGAGUGCAGGAGAGGUAAGCGGAAUUCCUAGUGUAGCGGUGAAAUGCGUAGAUAUUAGGAGGAACACCAGUGGCGAAGGCGGCUUACUGGGCUGUAACUGACGUUGAGGCUCGAAAGCGUGGGGAGCAAACAGGAUUAGAUACCCUGGUA